rnacentral:rRNA from 1 species
CUUAGCAGUGUUGCCACCUUGUAGCCUGACCUGGUCAGGUCUCGGGAGCUGAGCAAGGCUGUCUCCGGACAGUACUGGGAUGGGAAACCACCAAGGGAACCAGGUCACUGCUGUAG